AGCAGCCGCGGUAAUUCCAGCUCCAAUAGCGUAUAUUAAAGUUGUUGCAGUUAAAAGCUCGUAGUUGAAUUUCGGGGUUAGUAGGUUGGUCAUGCCUCUGGUAUGUACUGGUCUCACUGAUUCCUCCUUCCUGAUGAGCCGUAAUGCCAUUAACUUGGUGUCGUGGAGAAUCAGGACUGUUACUUUGAAAAAUUAGAGUGUUUAAAGCAGGCUAACGCUUGAAUACAUUAGCAUGGAAUAAUGAAAUAGGACGUUUGAUCCUAUUUUGUUGGUUUCUAGGAUCGACGUAAUGAUUAAUAGGGAUAGUUGGGGCAUUAGUAUUCAAUUGUCAGAGGUGAAAUUCUUGGAUUUAUUGAAGACUAACUACUGCGAAAGCAUUUGCCAAGGAUGUUUUCAUUAAUCAAGAACGAAAGUUAGGGGAUCGAAGACGAUCAGAUACCGUCGUAGUCUUAACCAUAAACUAUGCCGACUAGGGAUCGGAUGAUGUAAUUUUUAAUGACUCAUUC
rnacentral:rRNA from 1 species